rnacentral:snRNA from 1 species
UAAUACGAAAUGGAGGGAGUAU